UACGUAGGGUGCAAGCGUUUGUCCGGAAUCAUUGGGCGUAAAGAGCGUGUAGGCGGCCCGAUAAGUCCGCUGUGAAAGUCCAGGGCUCAACCCUGGAAUGCCGGUGGAUACUGUCGGGCUAGAGUCCGGAAGGGGCGAGUGGAAUUCCUGGGUGUAGCGGUGAAAUGCGCAGAUAUCAGGAGGAACACCAAUGGCGAAGGCAGCUCGCUGGGACGGUACUGACGCUGAGACGCGAAAGCGUGGGGGAGCAAACAGG
rnacentral:rRNA from 1 species